UACGUAGGGUGCGAGCGUUGCCCGGAUUUAUUGGGCGUAAAGGGCGCGUAGGCGGCUUGACAAGUCACUUGUGAAAUCUCCGGGCUUAACUCGGAACGGCCAAGUGAAACUGUCAUGCUAGAGUGCAGAAGGGGCAAUCGGAAUUCUUGGUGUAGCGGUGAAAUGCGUAGAUAUCAAGAGGAACACCUGAGGUGAAGACGGGUUGCUGGGCUGACACUGACGCUGAGGCGCGAAAGCCAGGGGAGCAAACGGG
rnacentral:rRNA from 1 species